UACGUAGGGUGCAAGCGUUAAUCGGAAUUACUGGGCGUAAAGCGUGCGCAGGCGGUUUUGUAAGUCAGCUGUGAAAUCCCCGGGCUUAACCUGGGAACUGCGUUUGAAACUACAAGGCUAGAGUGUGACAGAGGGGGGUGGAAUUCCACGUGUAGCAGUGAAAUGCGUAGAGAUGUGGAGGUACACCGAUGGCGAAGGCAGCCCCCUGGGUUAACACUGACGCUCAGGCACGAAAGCGUGGGGAGCAAACAGG
rnacentral:rRNA from 1 species